rnacentral:rRNA from 1 species
ACGGAGGGUGCGAGCGUUAAUCGGAAUUACUGGGCGUAAAGCGUAUGUAGGCGGUUUGAUCAGUCGGAUGUGAAAUCCCCGAGCUUAACUUGGGAAUGGCAUUCGAAACUAUCAAGCUAGAGUAGGCUAGAGGAAAGGGGAAUUCCGCGUGUAGCAGUGAAAUGCGUAGAUAUGCGGAGGAACACCAAUGGCGAAGGCACCUUUCUGGGGUCAUACUGACGCUGAGAUACGAAAGCGUGGGGAGCAAACA